AUCUCAUUUGCUUUGGUAUUUCGCCUAAGAUAAAGAAGGGUACAACAUAGUUUCCAUUUGGUGUGCAGCAACGUUUCAUAUUGAAACCAAAAAUGUUGUGCUUUAUUUAUUUCAUGGAAGAAAAGUGUAAUCCUUCUCAAAGAACAACGUACGGGUUUUGCGUACUGCUUCGAUCUCGUUGUUUCAUUUUGUCGUGUUGUUGGAUCCGGACUUUCUUCAAAGUGAAGUAAUGUGGAAGAAGAGUAGUUCUUAGCAUAUAAGAUCUUGGGAAACCCGAGACUUAAGUUUGGAUUAGCUUAAGAAGCGGACAAGACCCAAAUAAUUUUGCAGGAAAGAUUAUACAGGAGACUGACUGUAGGGCAUUCCCAGGCUAUCAGCGAGAUUGGUAAACUCCAUUUCAUUCAGAGUAUGACCGAGUUAGAGUAUUUCUUUAUGAUUUGAGUUAGAUGCAUUAUGGGUAUGUUGGGGCCCUGUCCCAAAAUUAUGUUUUGAUAUCAUGUUCUACAUUAGAGACUUUUGUAGAUAGAGUCAUGUACACAGUAUGUCAGUCUUGUAAGCGGCUAUGUAAGUUGACAUAUAGUUUUGCAUUACUUUACGGAUUCAUAUUAU